GACGAACGCUGGCGGCGUGCUUAACACAUGCAAGUCGAACGGAAAGGCCCUGCUUUUGUGGGGUGCUCGAGUGGCGAACGGGUGAGUAACACGUGAGUAACCUGCCCUUGACUUUGGGAUAACUUCGGGAAACUGGGGCUAAUACCGGAUAGGAGCUCCUGCUGCAUGGUGGGGGUUGGAAAGUUUCGGCGGUUGGGGAUGGACUCGCGGCUUAUCAGCUUGUUGGUGGGGUAGUGGCUUACCAAGGCUUUGACGGGUAGCCGGCCUGAGAGGGUGACCGGCCACAUUGGGACUGAGAUACGGCCCAGACUCCUACGGGAGGCAGCAGUGGGGAAUAUUGCACAAUGGGCGGAAGCCUGAUGCAGCAACGCCGCGUGCGGGAUGACGGCCUUCGGGUUGUAAACCGCUUUCGCCUGUGACGAAGCGUGAGUGGCGGUAAUGGGUAAAGAAGCACCGGCUAACUACGUG
rnacentral:rRNA from 1 species